AGAGGCUAUGGAAGAAGGCAAGAGCCUGAAAGAAAUGUUAAGCCAAACAACAGUGCGAGUACUGUAUCAGGAACGGCAGGAUUCUCAAAAGCCCGCUUUCCAUCUCCAAAGAGUGAAAAAAAAGCAUACAACUCACAAGGUGGAGUAUGUUUAGAUGAUGAUGGUGAUGACUAUGCCAACGUGGGUGACCUUAAUGUUUAUGGAAAUAUCUGAUGACAAAAAUAUUGUUAUUAUUUUUCAAAUGGAAUGUUUGAGUGUAAAGUGUCUUUACAAGAGAAACGUUGACAGAGACGUUGUUUUCCAUUGUAAUGAGAAUUCUGUUCAUGCUUUGUACUGUAUGUGCAAUUUAUUAAAUGAAAAAGCUGAUCAGUCUUUAUUUGUUGGCAAUGAUACCAAGAUUUUUGCAUAUUAGAAACUUCUCCUAAACAACAAGAACUUUAUCACAGAUUAUUCUGUUUUUGACUUUUUUAGCAGGUUGAGUGUUAGUUCCUUUUACUGAGUAGUGAUUAACCAAAUUACAUUUACACCCACACAACUAUUCUAUCCAAGCAUCAACUUCUGUACAGUACAUCACAGAAAUAUGCUUAUGAUAAUGAGGAGAAUUAAUUUACGAAUAGACUUAUGGACAACAAACAAACACAAACAAAUUAGUGACUUUACC